UCAUUACGGUAUCAGUGGUGGCAGACCUAACAACUUAAGGGUUCAUUACGGUGUCAGUGGUGGCGGCCCUAACAACAAUAACAAGUCUCUGUCUGUCAACAGCUGACUUUUCCUGACCUGCUGACGCCCUGGAGGAAAACCCAUCAGGACCUCAAUUCUAGCACUGUAGAGGGAAAUUAUGAGGUUCCGGCAGAGGAGUGCUGUGCACGAGCUGAUACGUAGAGAAUAUGGAGUGAAGUGCACAUGGGGGGCUAGCAUCCAGACUCUUCGAUAUUCAGCUUUUGGACCAAGAAGAAAAUGGAAAAAUGUAUUUCAAACCAAGCAGAACUCUCUUUUUGAACUGAACAGCGACCUCAUGUGGAUUACAAAAUCAUUUGAUCAGCCAAGGUGUAGGAUAUCUAUAAUUUUAAAGAUUCUUGUAUGAGAUGUUGAAUGAACAGAUUAAAGUUAUACAGUAUGAGAUACAGUAUUAGAAGUAUUAAGUAAUGUAUGUUUUUUUUUUAAUUUAAAUAAUAUAAAUGUUUAUCAUUAUAAUUUACAUUGUUGCAGCCUAAACAUAAUCAGUACUUAAACUCAAGAUAAGUCAUAAUGAACAACUGUCGGUGAAUAAAAAGAAGAAUGGAUGAGUACUCAAACUGUGGACCUGUUACAUGCCAGGACCAUGAUUCAAGUACCUGCUCAUUCAUCUGUUUUUCCUAAUCAGUACUGUAUAAGUAUGUACUGUAAUGAUGAUGAUAAAUUCUACUGUAUUUAGAAGCAAAAAUUAUUUUUAAAGUCAUUUGCUUUUAAUUAUGUUUCAGCAGCUAUGCUGAAGAUUAUAUCCUCAUUCUUUCAACACACUGGACAUAUCCCACCAAGGCAGGGUGGCCCAGGAAAAAAAAAUUAAGCUUCUCUUUUUAAAUUUUAUUAAUAUGUACAGGAGAAGAGGUUACUAGGCCCUUUCUCCCAGCAUUUUAGUCGCCUCUUACAACACACAUGACCUGUGGAGGAAGAAUUCUGUUCCACUUCCCCGUGGAGUUAAGAUUACAUAUUUUUCUGUAUUUAAAUGCAUUGUAAUACUGCGUGAGAAAUAUGUGGAGGAUUUUAGGAUAAAAUUUUGAAAAGAUUGCAUGGGGCAACUUGCUGAUUGAUGUGAGGUGUAUUUUAUAAACAGUACAACCCAAUACAGUAUAUGUAUAUGGAGGUUCUUCUCAGCACAUAUAUGUUGCAAUAUGAUUGAUGCAAGGUGGCCAAAUUAUCAUUUAUCUUGCUACAGGGGUUUGAGUGUAUAUGAAAUUAUGAAAUGACAUGCCAUGCAGGUCUGGGUUUAACUUGGGCAUAGGGCAUUUCACACAUCCCAUCCAGAAAAUGCCACAUCCCUCCCAUAUCACCAAGGUUGCUUGCUUCAGUCCCCUUGUGUAUCAUUUACCUCCUGUUUAGCAAGCUUUUUAUAUUUAGUAUCAGUCCAUCUCACCUUUGUCCAAUAUUAUUAACCAUGUCACCCAAGAGAAUUGCUAGUUAUGCUUAUAAUGCAAAUAAAAUAUAUGAAUUUAUAAUUUGGAAGAAAUUAUGUCUUACAUAGACAUUAAAGAGGAGUUCAGUCAGUAGACAUGACUGUUACUGGGACAAAACUAGUAAUAAACAUUUCAUAAAAAUACAUCAUUGCUUGACUGAUUGUAUCAGUUGAUGUUGCUUGUGUAUAUCCUAAUGAAAUUUUUGUUAAUAUUUCAUUAUUGACAAGUCAAUUUUAAAUCAUUUCUUUAAAAACCAUGUCUUUGAGAAAUAUUGCACUAAUAAAUAUACAUAAAUGGUACAGAAAAAAAAAAAUGGUACAGCCUCUCCUCACUUAACGAUAGAGUUCCGUUCCUAAGACCUCGUCGGUAAAUGAAUUCAUCGCUAAGUGAGGAGCAUACUACAGUGGUAGUGGGUUUGUAUCAAUCAUCUUUGAUACUGUUUUAAUGUUACCUUUGUACCAUUUAUAACAUUUCUGGUAUAUUUUUAAAUGUUUAUACAUUAGAGCACUGUAUAUUGUAAUAAACAGAAUAGAGGAAAUCAGUUCUAAUGUACAUUAUUUUGGUAUGUAUACUGGUCAGAGAGCCUGUCGUAAGUCCGAGUCGUCGGUAAAUGAGUACGUUGGUAAGUGAGGAGAAAAGGAGGUUUUGUGGGCAAGGGGCUUGGACUUCCAGCAAGCGUGCGUGAGUGUUAGAUAGGAGUGAAUGGAGACGAAUGGUACUUGGGACCUGACGAUCUGUUGGAGUGUGAGCAGGGUAAUAUUUAGUGAAGGGAUUCAGGGAAACCAGUUAUUUUCAUAUAGUCGGACUUGAGUCCUGGAAAUGGGAAGUACAAUGCCUGCACUUUAAAGGAGGGGUUUGGGAUAUUGGCAGUUUGGAGGGAUAUGUUGUGUAUCUUUAUACGUAUAUGCUUCUAAACUGUUGUAUUCUGAGCACCUCUGCAAAAACAGUUCGUUAGUUAGUUACCAUUUUGUCCUAGGCACAUGUCGAUUAGACACUAGGCCUGUUGUGUGUGUGUAGGUGUGUAGGUACAGUGAUUAUGUGUGAGUGUGGUGAAAAUGUUGAAUGAUGAUGAAAGCAUUUUCUUUUUGGGGAUUUUCUUUCUUUUUUGGGUCACCCUGCCUCGGUG